rnacentral:lncRNA from 1 species
CACUUGCAGAUUCCACAGAAAGACUGUUUCAAAACUGCUCUGUCAAUAGAAAGGUUCAACUCUGUUAGCUGCGUGCAUAUAUCCCAAAGAAGAUUCUGAGAUUGCUUCUGUCUAGUUUUUAUGGGAAGAUAUUUCCCUUUUCACCGUAGGCGUCAAGGCGCUCCAAAUGUCCACNUCCAGAUACUACAAAAAGAGUGUUUCAAACCUACUCUGUGAAAGGGAAUAUUCAACUCUGUGACUUGAAUGCACAUAUCACAAAGAAGUUUCUGAGAAUGCUUCUGUCGAGAUUUUAUAUGAAGAUAUUCCCGUUUCCAACGAAAUCCUGAA